rnacentral:tRNA from 1 species
GGUGAGAUGGCUCAGCGGUUAAGAGCACUGGUUGUUCAGAGGUCCUGAGUUCAAUUCCCAGCCACCA